rnacentral:rRNA from 1 species
CCUACGGGAGGCAGCAGUGAGGAAUAUUGGUCAAUGGACGCAAGUCUGAACCAGCCAUGCCGCGUGCAGGAAGACGGCUCUAUGAGUUGUAAACUGCUUUUGUACGAGGGUAAAUCCCGAUACGUGUAUCGUGUUGAAAGUAUCGUACGAAUAAGGAUCGGCUAACGCCGUGCCAGCAGCCGCGGUAAUACGGAGGAUUCAAGCGUUAUCCGGAUUUAUUGGGUUUAAAGGGUGCGUAGGUGGUUCGUGAAGUUAGAGGUGAAAGCCCGGGGCUCAACACCGGCACUGCCUCUGAUACUGUCGAGCUAGAGUUUAGUUGCGGUAGGCGGAAUUUAUGGUGUAGCGGUGAAAUGCAUAGAGAUCAUACAGAACACCGAUUGCGAAGGCAGCUUACUAAACUACGACUGACGUUGAGGCACGAAAGCGUGGGGAGCAAACAGGAUUAGAUACCCUAGUAGUC